rnacentral:lncRNA from 1 species
GUCUUCAGAAGCCAGCUGUGCUAAAAGUAUUUACUGCUUAUAUUUUUAGACGAGUUUGUUAAAUGCUAAUAUUCUCUGUCAUGGAAUGGUCUAAUUGUCCAUUUUCUGAGAUUGUUAGUUACAUAGUAAAUGGAAGAGUUAUUUUUUUCUUGAGGUCUUCUAAACUUAAAGUUGAACAUGUGCCUUUAUGUAAAUAGAGCAUUUGUAAAAAUAGCAUUCAUUUGUACAUCUUUGAAUGGAUUCUAGUUUUUCCCUCUGUCUCAAAUGCAACUAGGCAUCAGCUUAUUGCAUAUUAGCUGGAAUUAGUUGGAGUUUGUUUUGUAAUAAAUCAGCAGCAGUUUUUGCUGUAGUUAAAAGUAUUCUACAAUCUGCAUUUGUGUGUGACUGCUUUCUUCUUAUCAAGCUCAAUCUACAGCCACACACAAGUUCUUUUCCUCAUGAUCAAAUUUGUGUAGGUGGUUGGGUCGU